rnacentral:lncRNA from 1 species
AAAGAAAGAAAUAAUGAUGAGAUCAUAGUCACUAACAGACUAUCUUGCUAUGAAUGUGAAAGGAUAACAGGCUUAAUGUGAUUGCGCCAGAAUCAAAAAGGAUAAAAAGAAGGUUUAGUAAGGUAGGCUUAGGCAUGCCAACAUGAUUCGGAUUGGUUUGUAUAGGAGGGAGACUUAUGGUUGCAACAUUCCGACUUUGUGUUCUAACGAUACCCUUAGUAUGGAAGUGAGUACCUGUUAAUACAAAU